rnacentral:lncRNA from 1 species
UACGUAGGUUGGCAGUGGCACUUUUCUAGUGAGUUCCGUUUUUCCCGUUGUCGCCCCUUUGGGCCCUUAGAGCUACAUAAAUCGAGUUGUACAUACUCUCCCUAUAAAGGUACUCUAUAGCCAUUUCCACUGUGUGACACCUGCUUCCAGUACACCACUGACCAAUGCGGCCGCCGAAUAAUAGAUUGACGUAUGAGGUCAGGUUCAUUCAUGCAACGUAACUGUUUCCCGAGACCGGUCAACGUACUGCCCUUUCAUCAAUAACCGCGUAUCAACUUAGAUAAACCCAUGCAUAUACGCGGUUCUUCGGCAAGUGCUGCGGCGUGAGCUUUUCAUUUUCCACCUCUCGAUAGUUUUACGGUGCUUCGUCCUUGCCCCUCCCCUUCGGUAGCCUGGCUGAAGUAUGACCUUCGCGCGGAUAUCAUCCAUUUCCAAUCUUCAUUUUUUUCUUUAUGAUGAGGAAUAAUAAGCUGUGUUUUUCCCCCUCCUUCCCGCUCGCGCGCAAUUUUGGGUGGGCUCCUCGCGGUAUAAAUACGAGCUCAAACUUACCCUUAAUCAUAAACUCUUUAGUCGCAGAACUAAUAGCUUCUAGUUUCUCACGCAGCAACAAACCCUCACCUCCUUCACCAUGUACAAGCUGUUGAUCGUCGCUCUGGCUCUUAUCGCCGCCGUCGCCGCCUCCCCUUCGCCUACAGCUACGCUUCCCCUUACGGAUACGCCGCCGCCCCCUACGCUGGUUACGGAUACGCCGCCACCCCCUACGCCGCAUACGCUGGUUACGGAUACGCUCGUUCCGGUUACUACGGUUACCCCGGCUACUCAGCAUACAGUGCCUACCCCUACGGAGCCUACGGAGCCUACGGAGCCUACCCCUACUACAAGAAGUAAAUGAUCCUCCCACGAACUCAAUAGCCGUCAACUCCGAUGCCUUUGAAAAAAGCCUGCCAGAGUCAAGACUGUGCAUUCAAAAUGCGAAUUGUCCUCAACAUUUUCGAUUCCAAACAGAUUUUCUAAAAUUUUCUAAAAAAUUUGAAAGCGAUUUCAAUUUUUGUGCUCAUCUUUUUCUCCAAUAAAUUCAACCUUCACCAUUCAAAAUUUGUAAUUUUUUUUUCAAGACAUACAAUUGUUCUUACCUAUUUAACCUACUUCUGGAAAAAACUUGAAAAUUGUUUAACUUCAUGAUCCGAAGAGAGAAAAAUUCCUCUUUACCCACUGAGACAUUGAGUCGCAUCCAGUGGCGUGGCGUGAAAUGCGAUGUAUCGAUUCUUAUGCCAUUUAAACCUAUGGAAAAGGAUCGAUAAACAGGGUGUUCGCAGUGAACGCCUUAAUAAUCGAUUCUAUACCAUGGGUUUAAAUGGCAUAACAAUCGAUACAUCGCAAUUCACGCCACGCCACUGGUCGCAUCCCCUGAUUAAAAAAUAAAUUAAAACUAUUGUUCCAUUCACUCUCUCAUAUCACUCCAAUUCCACCCAUUGAGUUCAUUUUUAGACAUUUUGAAAAAUUUGUUCAAGUUUAUUUAAAAUCUAUUGACAAAAACACAAGUUAACUUAUUCAAAAAAAAACACAAAAAAAAAUUGAAAAAAAUCCGUUUAUAUAAAAUCUGUAGGAAUGGUCUCGAACAGGGUAAAUAUAUAGGGCAUGAUAAAUUAUUAUCAACAGUCAAAAGUAGAAGGGUUGCAACCGUUCUUCCAAAUGCCUCUGGUCUCCUUUUUCCUUUUAUUCUUAUUACUCUAAAUACCAUUCUUUUACAGAGAGACGCUUUUGCAUGAAACGUGAGAAGAUGUGAAAUUACACUAUUCAACUUUCAGCCAUAAAGAGAGCGUGGUUUCUUAUCCGGAAAUGAAAAAUAGGUUGUCUUUGAAUAGUUUAUCGAUGUAUGAAAAAAUAAACAAAUAAACCUUAAAUAAAUAAACAAAAAACUCAACGUCGAAUACGUCGUUGAGCCAUAACCUGGAGAAUGUAAUGAAACUGUAAGAUUAAUGAAUACGAGAUAACUAAAAAAAUAACGGAUUUUCAUCAACACCAAGAGACUCACAGAAGACCCUCAAAAUUUCCGUAGAAUAUGAUACACUGCAAUUAUAAUUGUUUCCAUCACACUGAAAUCAAUAGUCUGUUCCAAAGUAAAUAUGAUGUCCAAGCGUUAUUUUCAAUCCAAUUUACGUUACAGGCGUCCGUUCCAUUACGGCAAGGAAGAAAAUUCUGAUUUGAAAAUAUAUCUAAUGGACGUAUUUCUGCCAAACGGAACUAUGUGCAUUAAGACACGAGCCCUGAGACCCAUAAGAAUAUAAGCGUAACGGGGCUUACGUCAUAAUGUACAUAGUUCCGUUUGACAGAAAUACGUCCUAAUGUGACUCCAGGGUUCGUGGUAACUCAUUCAUUUGAGUACAUCGUGGUCGUUUCGAUAUGAAAGACGAAUCAUCGAUAUCAAUAAUAAUCUUAUGGCAUUUUUAUCUACCUGUUUUUGCCUUAAUAUUUAAAUAUUCCCUUCAAAAUUUGAUCAAUUACUUUUAAGACAUUUUUUCUACUUCUUUUGAAUUAGAUUGUGCUAGUGAGUUGGAAAAGUACUUACUAAAGUCCGGUGUUCUUUUUCAGUCAUCAGAGCAACGGUUCGUGAAAUUUUUUCAUUGUUUCUGAUAAAACCAUAAUGAUUUCUGAAAAAUUGAGGUAUACACUUUCUAUUUUAAUUGUUACCCCAUCCGAACAUACCUAAUUUCACUCCUUAUCUUUACAAAGUUUCACUCACAUUUGCAUACACUCAAAAUUCUUUCAAAUGAUCAAAAGUAUUGGCCAAUUUAUUUAGGGCCCUUGCUUUUCCAAAAGUAAAUAUUAGUUCACAGUGUACCGUCAUGUGUUAUUGCACCACCUUUUUUCCUCCAUUUAAAUAUACGUAAAACAAUCGAUUCUUUGUGAGGCAGCUUGUCUGACUUAAAAUCGAUAUUUUUAAUGGAUUUAAAUUGAGGCACAAAAGUGUUGCCAACUUGAAAAAUCGCCAGUGUGUCGUGUUGUGCUUAAGAAGAACACCGAACAAGCUUCUCAAUGUUGCAGAAUUUGCUCCUAUGAAAGUGGGGAAUAUCUCUCAUUUUUUUUUUCAAUAAACAAUUAUUUUAUUUGAUUUGUUCACAAGGUGGAAUGAAACAAAACAGUGUUUCACCCAAAGGCCUGUGUGUACAUUUUAAAUUUAAAGAUCCUGAGUACAUUUUAAAGUUAAUUCCCCCCUGUCCCAUAGAAGCUUAUUGUCUAACUUAAAAUUAAUUUGGGUUGUUGGAGAUCCUCUGUCUCCUUUCGUUUUCAGGUGAGUUUGUUUUCCCCGGUAUUGCCUAGGUGCGGCGUGUCUUCGGGGGAGGAAGGAGGUUGAUAACUGUCUUCUUCUUCAUCUUGUUUCAGCACAUGUUGUUUAUCUUGUAGAACUUCUUUAAUGAACGUGU